rnacentral:rRNA from 1 species
AGUGAACACUGGCGGCAGGCCUAACACAUGCAAGUCGAACGGUAACAGGAAACAGCUUGCUGUUUCGCUGACGAGUGGCGGACGGGUGAGUAAUGUCUGGGAAACUGCCUGACGGAGGGGGAUAACUACUGGAAACGGUAGCUAAUACCGCAUAACGUCGCAAGACCAAAGAGGGGGACCUUCGGGCCUCUUGCCAUCGGAUGUGCCCAGAUGGGAUUAGCUAGUAGGGGGGGUAACGGCUCACCUAGGCGACGAUCCCUAGCUGGUCUGAGAGGAUGACCAGCCACACUGGAACUGAGACACGGUCCAGACUCCUACGGGAGGCAGCAUUGGGGAAUAUUGCACAAUGGGCGCAAGCCUGAUGCAGCCAUGCCGCGUGUAUGAAGAAGGCCUUCGGGUUGUAAGUUACUUUCAGCGGGGAGGAAGGGAGUAAAGUUAAUACCUUUGCUCAUUGACGUUACCCGCAGAAGAAGCACCGGCUAACUCCGUGCCAGCCGCCGCAGUAA